rnacentral:rRNA from 1 species
UACGUAGGGACCAAGCGUUGUUCGGAUUUACUGGGCGUAAAGGGCGCGUAGGCGGCAAUUCAAGUCAUCUGUGAAAUCUCCGGGCUUAACCCGGAAAGGUCAGAUGAUACUGCUUUGCUAGAGUGCGGAAGGGGCAAUCGGAAUUCUUGGUGUAGCGGUGAAAUGCGUAGAUAUCGGAAGGAACAUCAGUGGCGAAGGCGACUUUCUGGACAGAUACUGACACUGAGGCACGAAAGCGUGGGGAGCAAACAGG